ensembl:snRNA U6 U6 spliceosomal RNA
UUGCUCACUUCGGCAUCACAUAUACUAAAAUUGGAACGAUACAGAGAUUAGCAUGGCCCCUGUGCAAGGAUGACACGCAAAUUCGUUGAAGUGUUCCAAUUUUUA